rnacentral:lncRNA from 1 species
ACACCAUCUACAUCAUCCAUGUCAAUCCCCAUGAGCUCCCCGAAGGCAAAAAUCAACUCUGGGGCACCGCCGGCUCUCGUAAGUCAACCAGUUCGUUUGCUGUCGUUUUGAUUUGAUUUUAUCUGUGUUUGCUGUCGUUUUAUGAUCUGAUCUGGGUUCUUUUUUUUCUGAUGCUGCUGAGAAGCUUUGAUCCCUCUUGCGGAGUUCAGGGAGAAGGAGGUUAUGAAGACGUAUGGAUUGAAGCCCGAUGCUGACGUUCUCGAUCUGCUCGAC